GCCAGACUCCUACGGGAGGCAGCAGUCGGGAAUAUUGCGCAAUGGAGGAAACUCUGACGCAGUGACGCCGCGUAUAGGAAGAAGUUUUUCGGAAUGUAAACUAUUGUCGUUAGGGAAGAGAAAGGACAGUACCUAAGGAGGAAGCUCCGGCUAACUACGUGCCAGCAGCCGCGGUAAUACGUAGGGAGCGAGCGUUAUCCGGAAUUAUUGGGUGUAAAGGGUGCGUAGACGGGAAAACAAGUUAGUUGUGAAAUCCCUCGGCUUAACUGAGGAACUGCAACUAAAACUAUUUUUCUUGAGUGCAGGAGAGGUAAGUGGAAUUCCUAGUGUAGCGGUGAAAUGCGUAGAUAUUAGGAGGAACACCAGUGGCGAAGGCGGGUUCCUGGACAUUAACUGACGCUGAGGCACGAAGGCCAGGGGAGCGAAAGGGAUUAGAUACCCCUGUAC
rnacentral:rRNA from 1 species